GGGGGGACGCAGUAGGAUAGGCGAAGCGUGCGAUUGGAUUGCACGUCUAAGCAGUAAGGCUGAGUAUUAGGCAAAUCCGGUACUCAUUAAGGCUGAGCUGUGAUGGGGAGAAGACAUUGUGUCUUCGAGUCGUUGAUUUCACACUGCCGAGAAAAGCCUCUAGAUAGAAAAUAGGUGCCCGUACCGCAAACCGACACAGGUAGUCAAGAUGAGAAUUCUAAGGUGAGCGAGCGAACUCUCGUUAAGGAACUCGGCAAAAUGACCCCGUAACUUCGGGAGAAGGGGUGCUCUUUAGGGUUAACGCCCAGAAGAGCCGCAGUGAAUAGGCCCAAGCGACUGUUUAUCAAAAACACAGGUCUCUGCUAAACCGUAAGGUGAUGUAUAGGGGCUGACGCCUGCCCGGUGCUGGAAGGUUAAGAGGAGUGGUUAGCUUCUGCGAAGCUACGAAUCGAAGCCCCAGUAAACGGCGGCCGUAACUAUAACGGUCCUAAGGUAGCGAAAUUCCUUGUCGGGUAAGUUCCGACCCGCACGAAAGGCGUAACGAUUUGGGCACUGUCUCAACGAGAGACUCGGUGAAAUCAUAGUACCUGUGAAGAUGCAGGUUACCCGCGACAGGACGGAAAGACCCCGUGGAGCUUUACUGUAGCCUGAUAUUGAAAUUCGGCACAGCUUGUACAGGAUAGGUAGGAGCCUUUGAAACGUGAGCGCUAGCUUACGUGGAGGCGCUGGUGGGAUACUACCCUAGCUGUGUUGGCUUUCUAACCCGCACCACUUAUCGUGGUGGGAGACAGUGUCAGGCGGGCAGUUUGACUGGGGCGGUCGCCUCCUAAAAGGUAACGGAGGCGCUCAAAGGUUCCCUCAGAAUGGUUGGAAAUCAUUCAUAGAGUGUAAAGGCAUAAGGGAGCUUGACUGCGAGACCUACAAGUCGAGCAGGGUCGAAAGACGGACUUAGUGAUCCGGUGGUUCCGCAUGGAAGGGCCAUCGCUCAACGGAUAAAAGCUACCCCGGGGAUAACAGGCUUAUCUCCCCCAAGAGUUCACAUCGACGGGGAGGUUUGGCACCUCGAUGUCGGCUCAUCGCAUCCUGGGGCUGUAGUCGGUCCCAAGGGUUGGGCUGUUCGCCCAUUAAAGCGGUACGCGAGCUGGGUUCAGAACGUCGUGAGACAGUUCGGUCCCUAUCCGUCGUGGGCGUAGGAAAUUUGAGAGGAGCUGUCCUUAGUACGAGAGGACCGGGAUGGACAUACCUCUGGUGUACCAGUUGUCGUGCCAACGGCAUAGCUGGGUAGCUAUGUGUGGACGGGAUAAGUGCUGAAAGCAUCUAAGCAUGAAGCCCCCCUCAAGAUGAGAUUUCCCAACUUCGGUUAUAAGAUCCCUCAAAGAUGAUGAGGUUAAUAGGUUCGAGGUGGAAGCAUGGUGACAUGUGGAGCUGACGAAUACUAAUCGAUCGAAGACUUAAUCAA
rnacentral:rRNA from 4 species